rnacentral:rRNA from 1 species
GACAGAGGGUGCAAACGUUGUUCGGAAUUACUGGGCGUAAAGCGCGUGUAGGCGGCCAUCUAAGUCGGGCGUGAAAUCCCACGGCUCAACCGUGGAAGUGCACUCGAAACUGGAUGGCUAGAGUCCUGGAGAGGAAGGUGGAAUGCUUGGUGUAGAGGUGAAAUUCGUAGAUAUCAAGCGGAACACCGGUGGCGAAGGCGGCCUUCUGGACAGUGACUGACGCUGAGACGCGAAAGCGUGGGGAGCAAC